UGGACAUGGGGGCAACCUGAUCUUACAUGCCGCGUGUGUGAAGAACGCCUGAGGGUUGUAAAGCACUUUUGUAGACGGAGGAUGGUGAGCUAGGUUAAGAGCUAGGUUCAUUGACGUUACUCUAAGAAUAAGCACCGGCUAACUCCGUGCCAGCAGCCGCGGUAAUACGGAGGGUGCAAGCGUUAAUCGGAAUUACUGGGCGUAAAGGGUGCGUAGGCGGUUAAGUAAGUUAUCUGUGAAAUCCCUGCGCUUAACCUAGGUAGGAAAGAUAAUACCGCUUAACUAGAGUGUGAUAGAGGAUAGUGGAAUUUCCGGUGUAGCGGUGAAAUGCGUAGAGAUCGGAAGGAACACCAGUGGCGAAGGCGGCUAUCUGGAUUAACACUGACGCUGAGGCACGAAAGCGUGGGGACGCAAACAGGAUUAGAUACCCUGGUAGUCCACGCCGUAAACGAUGUCAACUUGCUGUUGGGUACAUUAAAGUAUUCAGUAGCGAAGCAAACGCGAUCAAGUUGACCGCCUGGGGAGUACGGUCGCAAGAUUAAAACUCAAAGGCACUUGACGGGGGCCCGCACAAGCGGUGGAGCAUGUGGUUUAAUUCGAUGCAACGCGAACAACCUUACCUACCCUUGACAUACAGCGAACCCUGAAGAGAUUCGGGGGUGCCGAA
rnacentral:rRNA from 1 species